AUCGCUUCUUGGCCUUUUGGCUAAGAUCAAGUGUAAAAAAGUUUUUUUGUAGAGACAAUAUAUUGCUAUGUUGCCCAGGCUGGCCUCGAACUCCUGGAUUCAACGAUCCUUUU
ensembl:snRNA U2 U2 spliceosomal RNA